rnacentral:rRNA from 1 species
CCCGAAAGGGUGGGGUGCCCGCAAGGGAGCGUGGAGACAGGUGGUGCAUGGCUGUCGUCAGCUCGUGUCGUGAGAUGUUGGGUUAAGUCCCGCAACGAGCGCAACCCUCACCCCUUGUUGCCACCGGGUCAUGCCGAGCACUCUAGGGGAACUGCCAGCGUCAAGCUGGAGGAAGGCGGGGAUGACGUCAAGUCAUCAUGCCCCUUACGCCCUGGGCGACACACGUGCUACAAUGGCUGGUACAAAGGGAUGCAAGACCGCGAGGUGGAGCUAAUCCCAAAAAACCGGUCUAAGUUCAGAUUGCAGUCUGCAACUCGACUGCAUGAAGGAGGAAUCGCUAGUAAUCGCGCAUCAGCACGGCGCGGUGAAUACGUUCCCGGGCCUUGUACACACCGCCCGUCACACCACGAAAGUCGG